rnacentral:rRNA from 1 species
GUGUCAGCCGCCGCGGUAAUACGUAGGGGGCGAGCGUUGUCCGGAUUUAUUGGGCGUAAAGAGCUCGUAGGCGGUUUGGUAAGUCGGGUGUGAAAUCUCCACGCUCAACGUGGAGGGGCCACUCGAUACUGCCAUGACUCGAGUCCGGUAGAGGAGUGUGGAAUUCCCGGUGUAGCGGUGAAAUGCGCAGAUAUCGGGAGGAACACCCGUAGCGAAGGCGGCACUCUGGGCCGGAACUGACGCUGAGGAGCGAAAGCGUGGGGAGCAAACAGGAUUAGAUACCCUGGUAGUCCACGCCGUAAACGUUGGGCACUAGGUGUGGGGAUCUAUCGACGGUUUCCGUGCCGAAGCUAACGCAUUAAGUGCCCCGCCUGGGGAGUACGGCCGCAAGGCUAAA